AGGUAUAAAAAGUUAUGAAAGGGACUUGGUUGAAAUGCAAAGAGGGAAAUAAACUAAUCUUAAGACAUUAAUCAGGUAUAAAAAGUUAUGAAAGCGACUUGGUUGAAAUGCAAAGAGGGAGCUAAACUAAUCUUAAGACAUUAAUCAAGUAUAAAAAGUUAUGAAAGGGACUUGGUUGAAAUGCAAAGAGGGAAAUAAACUAAUCUUAAGACAUUAAUCAGGUAUAAAAAGUUAUGAAAGCGACUUGGUUGAAAUGCAAAGAGGGAGCUAAACUAAUCUUAAGACAUUAAUCAAGUAUAAAAAGUUAUGAAAGGGACUUGGUUGAAAUGCAAAGAGGGAAAUAAACUAAUCUUAAGACAUUAAUCAGGUAUAAAAAGUUAUGAAAGCGACUUGGUUGAAAUGCAAAGAGGGAGCUAAACUAAUCUUAAGACAUUAAUCAAGUAUAAAAAGUUAUGAAAGCGACUUGGUUGAAAUGCAAAGAGGGAGCUAAACUAAUCUUAAGACAUUAAUCAAGUAUAAAAAGUUAUGAAAGGGACUUGGUUGAAAUGCAAAGAGGGAAAUAAACUAAUCUUAAGACAUUAAUCAGGUAUAAAAAGUUAUGAAAGCGACUUGGUUGAAAUGCAAAGAGGGAGCUAAACUAAUCUUAAGACAUUAAUCAAGUAUAAAAAGUUAUGAAAGGGACUUGGUUGAAAUGCAAAGAGGGAGCUAAACUAAACUUAAAACAUUAAUCAGGUAUAAAAAGUUAUGAAAGGGACUUGGUUGAAAUGCAAAGAGGGAGCUAAACUAAACUUAAGACAUUAAUCAGGUAUAAAAAGUUAUGAAAGGGACUUGGUUGAAAUGCAAAGAGGGAGCUAAACUAAACUUAAGACAUUAAUCAGGUAUGUAUAUUUUUG